GGCGCACGGGUGCGAAACGCGUGGGAAUCUGCCCUUCGGUUCGGAAUAACUCAGGGAAACUUGAACUAAUACCGGAUAAUGACUUCGGUCCAAAGAUUUAUUGCCGAGGGAUGAGCCCGCGUAGGAUUAGCUAGUUGGUGGGGUAAUGCCCUACCAAGGCGACGAUCUUAGCUGGUCUGAGCGGAUGAUCAGCCACACUGGGACUGAGACACGGCCCAGACUCCUACGGGAGGCAGCAGUGGGGAAUAUUGGACAAUGGGCGAAAGCCUGAUCCAGCAAUGCCGCGUGAGUGUUGAAGGCCUUAGGGUUGUAAAGCUCUUUUACCAGGGAUGAUAAUGACAGUACCAGGAGAAUAAGCUCCGGCUAACACCGUGCCAGCACCCGCGGUAAUACGGAGGGAGCUAGGUUGUUCGGAAUUACUGGGCGUAAAGCGCGCGUAGGCGGUUACUCAAGUCAGAGGUGAAAGCCCGGCGCUCAACCCCGGAACUGCCUUUGAAACUAGGUGACUAGAAACUUGGAGAGGUCAGUGGAAUUCCGACUGUAGAGGUGAAAUUCGUAGAUAUUCGGAAGAACACCAGUGGCGAAGCCGACUGA
rnacentral:rRNA from 1 species